UGGGGAAUAUUGCACAAUGGGCGCAAGCCUGAUGCAGCAAUGCCGCGUGUGUGAAGAAGGCCUUCGGGUUGUAAAGCACUUUCAGACGUGAGGAAAAGUUAAUAGUUAAUAACUGUUAACCCUGACGUUAACGUCAGAAGAAGCACCGGCUAACUCCGUGCCAGCAGCCGCGGUAAUACGGAGGGUGCAAGCGUUAAUCGGAAUUACUGGGCGUAAAGCGCGCGUAGGCGGUUAUUUAAGUCAGAUGUGAAAUCCCUGGGCUCAACCUAGGAACUGCAUUUGAUACUGGAUAACUAGAGUAUGGUAGAGGUGAGUGGAAUUUCAGGUGUAGCGGUGAAAUGCGUAGAGAUCUGAAGGAACAUCAGUGGCGAAGGCGACUCACUGGGCCAUUACUGACGCUGAGGUGCGAAAGCGUGGGUAGCAAACA
rnacentral:rRNA from 1 species